UAUCAUGGUAAUAGACAGGCAGAAACCUAUCCUGUGCUGGUUGCUUGAUGUUUCAUGAAUUGCUCUCUUCACUAGACCAAAGGACAAAAGGAGACUUCUCCGUUGUACACAGUCUGUGGAUUUUAUAGUAUCUCUAAUACUAUGAAAGAGUUUAUUAUUCCAACAGCACUGGACAUAUUUGACUUAAAUUGAUCUACAGUGCCCUUGCCAAAAGAAAAGCAUUUGCUUUAUCUGAGUUAUUAUUAAUUAGCUUCCCACAAGCUGUAAAAUUGCCACAUGUGAACCUGCCCAAACAUAACAUGGAAGUAAAUGAAGUGAUGGCUUGAGCAAUGAAAUAAAAUACAGGCAAGGUGCUUUUACUUCCUGGCACACAGGCCUUUCACCUCUCUGCCCUUUGCUACAGCAGAGAAGCUGACAUCUGAGUACUACAUGGAAGCUGCUGGGCCUCCUCAGUCAGGACACACUCCUCGACAUCUCUGCCUGGAAGUCAGUUUUCUGGGAUGGAAAGUGAACUCAUUCUCACGAGCCAUUAAAUUCUCCAGUUUCGAAGGAGAGUCCUUUCUUCCUUGCAAUCGAGCUGUUGCCUCAUGAUGCAAAUUAAACUACUCUUUUCAGCUGAGGUAGGUCCCACGUUUGCUUUUCCAGAGAAUAGUUUUUGAGACCAAAUGGCCUGGAUUAAGAAAACUCCGUGAUAAUAAAAGAAUAACUAUAAUGUAUAUGCCAGAAGUUGUGCUGGGUUCUUUCCGUGUAUCAUCACAUUUACUCAUCACCUCUGUGAGGGAGGAACUGAGUCACCUCUAGACACAGGAGACACAGAUUCUCAGAGCCCUUUGGAAAUGUGCCUGAUUUCACAGACUAGUAAUAGGUCUGGCUCUAUCAUCUCUACUUUCACCGACUGCAAACAUGGACGCUUCUUUCUAAAAGGAGACUAUUUAAAACUUUACUUUCAUUUUUUUUAAAGGGAUGAAGUGGUAGGAAGGAAAUUCGCUAGGUUGUAGGAAGGUACAAAUUUAAAUUUUGUACCCUUUAUAGAGUUCCCAGGUGAGUACGCACUAGGGCAGCAGGCAGGCUAGCUGGGAAAGAAUUAUUUGUGUGACAGUAAUAUACUAUGAGAUCCAUCACUCCCAUGAUACUUUACAGAACCUUCUGUAUACUUUUUUUGAUCUAAGUUUGGUUCCAAACACAUAAAUCUCUGAGAAAUCCCAUGAGAAGAUCCCACUAAGGCACUAACAAAGAUGCCUGUUCCAAGUGACUUUCUAUGUAAAUGCAAAAAAAAAAAACAAAAAAAAAACAAAACCUGUAAGCAAAUACCUUCAAAUUCAUAAGAUACUAUCUUUCAAUAAUUAUGCAAUAUUCAUGGAAGAGUCGCUAGGCAUUAGGAUAAAAUUUGGACUUUGUCUACAUUUUCAAAAAGCGUUGGACCCAAAGGGAGAAAAGAUGGUAGCAUCACACCACGGCAGAAGGAGGCACUUCACCGUCACUCCUACUGGUAAGAACCUGACAAUUAAACCUUCCUGGACAACAGGGCAAGCUUCUGCUGCUGGGAACAUUCAUACCCUUCUGGAUGACUAAUUCAUUACUUUAGUAGGUAGAAAGCUCCACGGGUGCCGAGCAGUGUUUUUUCGGUGGCUUCCCCUUAUCUCCUCAAUGAUAAUUAUUUUUUUUUGCUUUUGUACUUCCCCCGGUUGCCAUGACUCCCCGGCUGCUAGUAUAAACAAAAAUAAACUAUAUAGGAGCAUCCAUUACAAGUGAUGAUAUUCUAGGGAGAGCUUUUGACUGCAUAUCCUCAGAAGACAAGCUUUCUUGGAAAUAAAGGAAUGAGUAUGAUAAACAGCAUUAUCACUAUACACUUUUUAAAUAUUUACUACUGUGUUAGUGAAAUAUUUAAAGUGAUUAUCUGAAAUGUGCCCCCCCCCCAUCACAGGGGAGCCUGAAUAUGUCACUGUCUAAUACAACUGCCUAACAAUCUCACAUUGCCACAAUGCUUUCCAGAAAACAAUUCAUGCUGAAGAGUGAAUGCAACUGUUUUUAUUUUUAAUAGGCAAGAAAUAGAUCCCAAAUUAACUAAGUGCUGAGACUAGGCAUUAAGAGAUGCAGCAAGCUGUUUGCCCCAGAUUCAGGCUGUGCAAACAAGCCCCAGUAGGCUUCUAUGAAAACAUCAUUUUUGUUUCAGUGGAGUGUGUGCUUGACUGCUUUUAGCUUGCUCUUCCUGGAUAGUGUCACUGGAAAGAAGAGCUAAUAAAAGUACCCAUCAGACCUGG